UUAAGAACAAAGUUAUACAAACAAGAUGUGCGUGAGUUUCAUGGCCAAAAAAGAAAUUUAACUGCUAUUUUAAAAGAGAUACAAAACACAAAAACGCUAAGCACACUGUGAUAAAAUCUUGUUUUCUCUUUGAGGUUAGGCUUAAAACUUAUUCCUCAGUGGAGUCGUGAAAACCGUUCCCUUUCAAGAUGUCAUAGAACUCCACUGGCUUCUUCCUAUAUUCUGCAGACAUUUCCUCAACUGCAACAGCUAAACGCAAGAUUGAAGCUUCACACCACGGACGACCAAUAAGUUGCAAGCCUAUUGGAAGUCCUUGCUUAUCAUGACCAAUAGGGACAGAAAUUGCCGGAAGUCCAAGAACAUUUGCUGUCAUAGCAAAUUGCAUUAGUCUUGCUACAACUUGCAAAUUUGUCUCUCCAACUGCAAGAGCACUUUCUGGAAUUUCUGGGGCUGUCAUUCCAGUGGUAGGUGUUACAAUGACAUCUACUUUCUUGAAAAUCUCCAUAUGGUAGUACAUUAUCCUUCGCCUAAGACACUGGGCAGAUAUAUAGUCAGAUGCUGCAAAUGAUCUGAAAAGUGCCAGAUUUGUGCGAGUGUCAUUAGUCAAUCUAACUCCUUUCCCAGCCUCGCAAUCAGGAUUCAAAAAGGACAGUGAUUCAGAUCCAAAAGUAACAGUAUGAGCUGUGCGCAGCUCACGAAGCUCCGGUAUGACAAUCUCUGUUGUUUUGCACCCAUACCGACGAAAUAGUUGGUUUAGGACAUCUUCACACUUAUCAGAUAUGUCGGUCGAGCUAACAUCGUUAAACCACUUUGUAUACUUUCCCAAGGUAAGUGAUCCCAAGAUAUUUGAACUCUCACUGGAAGAUAAAUCGGGAAAAUUAGGGAUGGAAGGAUUCAGCUGAAUUCGAUCAGUUGGAGAGGAUCCCGAGAUUGCUGCAUACCUGAAAAGUUGUAAGAAAAAUAGCAAUAAUCAACAUAUCAACCAUAAGAGUGGUUAUCACCAUGAUCAAGAUACCUGGACCAAAUUUAACAAAAAGAUCCCCAACAUACAACCUAUUUUUUAAAAAUAUAUAUACAACCUAAUUGAUCUAUGUUUACAAGGUCUGCGUACACCCCAGCCUCCUCGGACCCAUUUGUGGGACUGUACUGUGAAUGUUGUUCUUGUUGUAAGUUCUUUACUGUUGUUUUAGCUCACAUAAAGGUAGAUGAAAUUGAUGCAGUGUGUAAACAGUGCAACACCUAAAUAAUUUUACGUGCACUUGUAAUCAAGUCAAAGAGGUAAAUAAAAAAUCCAUGGUUGACUGUACACAGUAAGAUACUAAGAUGAAUACCAGAGAUUUUCAUGACCAGAAUUGACUAUUUGUUUGUAAGGAAAUGGGCAGUAAACCCAAUUACUAACACAAGUAUGGCAUCCUCAACAGUAGCUGUGAUGGGUCCAAUAAUUGUGACAGUUCCUGCUUCCCACAAAGACCCUGUCAGGUCAGUCCGUCCAAAUGUUGUUUUUAAGCCCACAACCCCGCAAAGAGAAGCAGGAAUUCGUACUGAACCUCCAGCAUCUGUUCCCAAUGCUGCUGAGCACAAUCCAGAAGCGACAAUUGCAGCUGAACCUGAGGAAGAACCACCUGUGUACCUUUUUGGAUUAUGCGGAUUUCUAGGUGUACCAUAAUUUGGAUUAUUUCCUGUUGUGCCCAUACCAAACUCAUGCAUAUUUGUCUUUCCUACUAAAAUUGCACCAUUGUUUCGUAAUCUUGACACAGGAACCCCAUCUGCCUUCACCUGGCGAACCUCAUGAAACCAUUUAGAACCACCUUUUGAAGGAUGAGGAUAGCAAUCAAUGUCAUCCUUGACUGCAAUGAAAAUCCCUUCCAAGAUUGACAGUUGUUUUCCUUUCUCAAAUCUUUGAGUGGAAGCUGCCGCUUGCCUUCUCACUUCCUCGGGGUCAAAUGAGAUCAAUAAUGGUACAGAUAUUAGUAAUUCGAAUAGCAAACACUCACCGACGACUCCUCGGAGUGAGGGUGAGAUCUUGCAAUCAUCCAACUUGAGGAGCUUCACUCUCAGUGAACUUCGAUCUGCAACCAGAAAUUUCCAUCGUGACAGUGUAGUUGGAGAAGGAGGUUUUGGUUCAGUUUUCAAAGGGUGGGUCGACGAACAUACUCUUGCAGCAUCAAUGCCUGGCACAGGGAUUGUGAUAGCUGUGAAAAACUUAGACCAAGAAGGGUGGCAGGGGCACAGAGAAUGGCUGGCUGAGAUAAACUAUCUUGGGCAACUACACCAUCCAAAUCUUGAAAAUUUGAUCGGUUAUUGCUUAGAGGAAGAUCAUAGGCUCUUGGUCUACGAGUAUAGGCCUGAGGGUAGCAUGGAGAAUCAUCUAUUUUGGAGAGGUUCAUACUACCAACCACUUUCUUGGAGCCUUCGUAUGAAAGUUGCACUUGGUGCUGCAAGGGGCCUUGCUUUUCUUCAUAAUGCUGAAAUAAAAGUUAUUUACAGGGACUUCAAGACUUCUAAUAUUCUGCUGGACUCGGACUACAAUGCCAAGC
rnacentral:misc_RNA from 1 species